UUUAAUGUUUGAUGUUCUAACGUGGACCCGUAAUCCGGGUUGCGGACAGUGUCUGGUGGGUAGUUUGACUGGGGCGGUCUCCUCCUAAAGAGUAACGGAGGAGCACGAAGGUUGGCUAAUCCUGGUCGGACAUCAGGAGGUUAGUGCAAUGGCAUAAGCCAGCUUGACUGCGAGCGUGACGGCGCGAGCAGGUGCGAAAGCAGGUCAUAGUGAUCCGGUGGUUCUGAAUGGAAGGGCCAUCGCUCAACGGAUAAAAGGUACUCCGGGGAUAACAGGCUGAUACCGCCCAAGAGUUCAUAUCGACGGCGGUGUUUGGCACCUCGAUGUCGGCUCAUCACAUCCUGGGGCUGAAGUAGGUCCCAAGGGUAUGGCUGUUCGCCAUUUAAAGUGGUACGCGAGCUGGGUUUAGAACGUCGUGAGACAGUUCGGUCCCUAUCUGCCGUGGGCGCUGGAGAACUGAGGGGGGCUGCUCCUAGUACGAGAGGACCGGAGUGGACGCAUCACUGGUGUUCGGGUUGUCAUGCCAAUGGCACUGCCCGGUAGCUAAAUGCGGAAGAGAUAAGUGCUGAAAGCAUCUAAGCACGAAACUUGCCCCGAGAUGAGUUCUCCCUGAGACUUAGAGUCUCCUGAAGGAACGUUGAAGACGACGACGUUGAUAGGCCGGGUGUGUAAGCGCAGCGAUGCGUUGAGCUAACCGGUACUAAUGAACCGUGAGGCUUAACCUUACAACGCCGAAG
rnacentral:rRNA from 1 species